rnacentral:rRNA from 1 species
AUUGAACGCUGGCGGCAGGCCUAACACAUGCAAGUCGAGCGAGCGGCGGACGGGUAAGUAAUGUAUGGGGACUGCCCGAUAGAGGGGGAUAACUACUGGAAACGGUGGCUAAUACCGCAUACUAUCGGAUAACCCAUAUGGGAUUAGCUAGUAGGUGGGGUAAAGGCUCACCUAGGCGACGUUCUCUAGCUGGUCUAAGAAGAUGAUCAGCCAUACUGGGACUGAGACACGGCCCAGACUCCUGCGGAGGAGGCAGUGGGGAAUAUUGCACAAUGGGCGCAAGCCUGAUGCAGCCAUGCGGCGUGUAUGAAGAAGGCCUUAGGGUUGUAAAGUACUUUCAGCGGGGAGGCGUUACCCGCAGAAGAAGCACCGGCUAACUCCGUGCCAGCAGCCGCGUAAUUC